UGACCGCUGGCGGCGUGCCUACUACAUGCACGUCGAGCGACCAGACGAGGAGCUUGCUCCUCUGACGUUAGCGGCGGACGGGUGAGUAACACGUGGAUAACCUACCUAUAAGACUGGGAUAACUUCGGGAAACCGGAGCUAAUACCGGAUAAUAUAUUGAACCGCAUGGUUCAAUAGUGAAAGACGGUUUUGCUGUCACUUAUAGAUGGAUCCGCGCCGCAUUAGCUAGUUGGUAAGGUAACGGCUUACCAAGGCAACGAUGCGUAGCCGACCUGAGAGGGUGAUCGGCCACACUGGAACUGAGACACGGUCCAGACUCCUACGGGAGGCAGCAGUAGGGAAUCUUCCGCAAUGGGCGAAAGCCUGACGGAGCAACGCCGCGUGAGUGAUGAAGGUCUUCGGAUCGUAAAACUCUGUUAUUAGGGAAGAACAAAUGUGUAAGUAACUAUGCACGUCUUGACGGUACCUAAUCAGAAAGCCACGGCUAACUACGUG
rnacentral:rRNA from 1 species